rnacentral:ncRNA from 10 species
UACCUGGUUGAUCCUGCCAGUAGCCAUAUGCUCGUUUUAAAGGUUAAGCCAUGCAAGUCUCAGUACAGGUCGCUUACGGCCGAAACCGCGGAUGGCUCAUUAUAUCAGUUUUAAUCCGUAUGAUUUAUCACAAUUGGAUACCUGUGGCAAUUCUAGAGCUAAUACAUUAUUAUAAUAAAUUUACACUCUAUCCUUUCUGGUUCAGAGUCUGUAAAAGCAAUCAUCACCACCAUAAACCGAUCAUAAAAAGGAAUUCUCCUUUGGUGCUAUGGUGAUUCAGGAUGAGCGUUGCAGAGCGCAAAGGUCAUUGAACCGCCGCUAUAUUAUGCGAGUUUCUGCCCUAUCAACUUUACUGUAAGGUAUUGGCCUACAGUGGUGUUCACGGGUAACGGGGAAUCUGGGUUCGAUUCCGGAGAGGGAGCCUGAUAAACGGCUACCACAUCCAAGGAAGGCAGCAGGCGCGGAAAUUAACCUAAUACUAGCUCUGUGAGUUAGUGACGAAAAAUAUUGAUGUGUGUCUCCUAAUGGAGCCUCACGAUCGAAAUGAGUUUAUCUUAAAUCCUUACUGCAAGGAGCUAUCGGAGGGCAAGCCUGGUGCCAGCAGCGCGGUAAUUCCAGCUCCUUUAGCGUAAUUUAAUAUUGCUGCGGUUAAAGUGCUCGUCGUUGGAUUUCUUUAAACGGUGCUGGGCACCCGUGCCUUGAUUUCGAGCUUUAUCCUAUAAAGUCUUUACAUUUGUAAUUUUCCCUUCCCUCUUCGAGGAUGGGUUAUACUAGUUUUGAAUAACGGAAAGCUCGCACCUUGAAUGGGUGUCUAGCCAGAAUAUUUAAGUAUCUAGCAGUAGCGUAAAGCUAUCUAUGCUAGAAACGAGGUUGGUACACUAAAUGCUCUUUGUUGUGUGUUUAGUGGUGCCGACACUUUUCACUUUAAUAAAAUUGGAGUGUUCAUAGCAGGUGUUAAUAUUUUCGAGUCGCCUGACUAAAGACGUCUGGAAUGAAGGAAUAAGACCUCUGUUCGGAUAUUUCUGAUCGAUUUUUUUGUUCGAAGCUGAGGUAAUGAUUAACAGGGACUGCCGGGGGCAUUAGUAUUGCAGCGCGAGAGGUGAAAUUCUAUGACCGUUGCAAGACUACCUACUGCGAAAGCAUUUGCCAAGAAUGUUCUUAUUAAUCAUGAACUAAAGUUAGAGGAUCGAAGGCGAUCAGAUACCGCCCUAGUUCUAACCCUAAACAAUGCUAACCAGCAAUCCGCUCGUGUCACUGGGGACUGAGCGGGAUCCCCCGGGAAACCAGAGUCUUUGAGUUCCGGGGGGAGUAUGGUUGCAAAACUGAAACUUAAAGGAAUUGACGGAAGGGCACCACCAGAAGUGGCCUGCGGCUUAAUUUGACUCAACACGGGGAAACUCACCAGGUCCGGACCCCGGAAGGAUUGACAGAUUAAAGUUCUUUCUCGAUUCGGAGGAAGGUGGUGCAUGGCCGUUCUUAGUUGGUGGAGUGAUUUGUCUGGUUGAUUCCGAUAACGAACGAGAUUCUUUCCUCCUAAUUUGUCGUCGGAUCGAAACCUGAAACGGGAACAGAUUCCUCCUUUUUAGUGCGCGGUAAUGUUCGCAAUUCGAUGAAAAUUAAGAAUUUUCGUGCAGUCUCUGCUCUAUUAUAUUUUUCAUCGAUUCGAGCUUGUCGUUCCUAUUAUUGGAAAACCCGUCAAAGGUUGUCCGUCGAAAUAAAAUAUUUCUUCAUCUUAGCGGUAUCGGCGGUGUCCAGCCGCACUAAAAAGAGCAAUAACAGGUCUGUGAUGCCCUUAGAUGUUCUGGGCUGCACGCGCGCGACAAUGAAGGGAGCAGCGUGUUGUCCCAUUCCGAAAGGAAAUGGCAAUCAUUUGAAACCCCUUCUCGAUUGGGAUUGGGGAUUGUAAGUUUUUCUCAUAAACGAGGAAUUCCUUGUACGCGUAGGUCGUUCAGCUUUCGCUGAAUACGUCCCUGCCCUUUGUACACACCGCCCGUCGCUACUUCCGAUUGAAGUGGCUGAGUGAGGUUAUUGGACUGUCGUUAAACGCAAAUUUUGCUAAAAAAAUGGACAGGAAGAUGCCCCGAACUUGGUCAUUUAGAGGAAGUAAAAGUCGUAACAAGGUUUCCGUAGUGAACCUGCGGAAGGAUCAUUA